rnacentral:rRNA from 1 species
GACGAACGCUGGCGGCGUGCUUAACACAUGCAAGUCGAACGAAGAGCGAUGGAAGCUUGCUUAUCUCAAUCUUAGUGGCGAACGGGUGAGUAACGCGUAAUCAACCUGCCCUUAAGAGGGGGACAACAGUUGGAAACGACUGCUAAUACCGCAUACGAUCUAAACUCGGCAUCGAGGAUAGAUGAAAGGUGGCCUCUACAUGUAAGCUAUCACUGAAGGAGGGGAUUGCGUCUGAUUAGCUAGUUGGAGGGGUAACGGCCCACCAAGGCGAUGAUCAGUAGCCGGUCUGAGGGGAUGAAAGGCCACAUCGGGACUGAGACACGGCCCAGACUCCUACGGGAGGCAGCAGUGGGGAAGCUUCCGCAAUGGACGAAAGUCUGACGGAGCAACGCCGCGUGAGUGAUGACGGCCUUCGGGUUGUAAAGCUCUGUUAAUCGGGACGAAAGGCCUUCUUGCGAAUAGGGAGAAGGAUUGACGGUACCGGAAUAGAAAGCCACGGCUAACUACGUG